CGGAAGUGCCCCCGGCGGGUCCGCGCACCUGGGACCGGGCCCGGCCCCCCAAGGUCCCGGGUCUAGGGACAGGGUCCCGCCAGCCUCCGGGCCCGAGCCUUGACGCCCGCGUGCUGGGGCCUGCGGCGCGAGAACGGCGGCCACCGUGACCCGGCCUCCGGACCCGAGCGCGGCCUCAGGGGCAGCAAAGGAGGGCAGAAAAUCAUCGGCAGCCCGAGCAGAAGCAGCAGCGAUGGUGGCGGGAGCGGCAGCACGCGGGGGACUGACCACAAAGCUCCCAGUGAAGACGGUUCCGUACGAGCCACAGGGCCGAUGAGGCUGCCAGAACAGCCACGGCCCUCGGGCUGCACCAAUAGACUCACGUUAACCGGAUCAGGACCCCUCUGCCCCAGCCCUGAGGUUAGACCAGCCCUGGGGUCUUCCUCAAACACGGGUGUGCGGUUUACCCGGAAUAUGGAAGCGCUGCAACCCAUUCACAGGAGGAUGAGCCGGUACAGAGAGAUCUGGAAACCCUCUCUUCCUGGGAGUCACUGGAGGUGAUGGAUUUCUCCUGGAGAAAAGGAGACCUGGACAGACAGACCUCUCCUGUUGGAGGAUGGUCGUGCCAAAGAGAGAAAAGACGAAGUGUGUCUCUAGAGAGCAGAGUGAAGAACAGUAAGUAUAAAUGGUGAGGCAGGAGACACAACAGAAGAAGGCAGUUCCUAACAGCUGGAACAAUCCGGCCCACCAGAGUGGUGAGCUCCCUGUCCCUGGAAACGUCCUGAUGGAAGCAGGAUGAUGUCAGGGAUAUCAUGGCCAUCACUGGCAGGAGACCAGCGUUUCCUAACCUCUCUUCCCCUUCCGAACAUCCCACUGUUCACGAAUCCCAUGUUUGAUAAUAAUGUAUCUAUUUAAUAAAUUGUACUUAUGCAAAGUAAAAUUUAUUCCAUUUUAAUAGUCAAAAACCUGUGUAUUGUCAGUUAUCUGACGCUUAGCCAGGCUUGGGGCCCACUGAACAAGGAAGGAAGAAAUGCUUCUGUGAAGAGGAGGUUGUGCCUUUCCUCCCGAGCCACCAUUUUCCAGUAACUCACAAAGUGACCAACACAAAAGCAGGGAGGAGAGGCACUUACUGUAUGUUCUCCAGGCCUUUCAGAAAACAAGGAGCUGUUCCUUUGGCCACAUUCACAUGAAUCUACAAGAAAGGUGAUGUUGUAGACAUGAAGGGAAGGGGCACCGUUUAAAAAGGAACGCCCCACCAGUGUCCCCAUGGCAAAACAGGAAGAGUCUCCAGUGCACACAGCAUGUGGCUGGCAUUGUUGUAAACAAACAAGAUAAGGGCAAGAUUCUUGGCAAGAGAAUUAAGUUAGGAUUACUCCACCAGCGGAGACAGCUUCCUGAAACAUGUGAAAGAGACUGAUCAGAAAAAGAAGGAAGAAAUUUACUUGGGUUCAACUGAAGCGCCAGCCUGCUCCACCCAGAGAGUCCCGCUUUGUGAGAACCAGUGAGAGGAGCCUGCACUGCUGGAACGCACUCCCUGUGAAUUCAUGGCUUGAUAGCUGUAAAAAAGUAAAGACCUCUGGACUGUGGGGAAAAAAAGAGAGAGAGAAGGAGAAGAGAGGGAGAGGGAGGGGAAAGGGAAGAGGAGCGGAGGGGAGGUUGUGCCAGAGCUGGGAUUUGAGGAGUGAUGGGGUUCUACGAGCAGAUGAAGGGAAGUCUUUGCAGCCAGGACAGACUCAGGGGUGAAAAUGUGAGCUCCAGAACAAACUACUGAGUGUAAAGUGGGACUGAGACGAGGCUGGAUGCAGGAGGCCGUCCAUGCUCUGCUCAGAGCUUAUCAAUUCAGCAGGGACCAUGCAGAGGCUGUGACCAGGAAAUAGGCAUGAUCUGCAAGGAAUGAAGAGGAGCUAGCCAAAAAAAGGAAAAAUAGAGAAAAAAAAGUAAGACCUUCUCUUAUUAAAAGACACCACAAGGAAAUUCAGACGAGUUACAUACUGGGAAUGAUUUCUGCAACACAUUUAAAUGACACAGGACUAAUAUUCAGAAUAUAUAAAGAACUGUAUGAGUUGAUAAGAAAAUGAAAAAAGAAAAGGGCAAAGGAAACAAACAGGAACAGCACAGAAGAGGAAGCACAAUUGCCCCAUAAACAUAUAAAAAGAUGUUCAACCUCAUUAGCAACAAAGGAAUGAAAAUAUGUCAUGCCCCCAAAAUUGGCACAAAUUUAAAAAUAGGAGAACACUAAGUGUUGAUGAAGAUGUGGGGCAGUGUGCAAGCUCCCAUCCACUGCUGACAGGGGUGCAAAUCAGUACAACUAUUUUAGAAAGCAGUUUGACAUUGGGACCCCCUUGAACUUUUGCAUAUCUCUGAACAUCUGCAUAUCCUUGGCCCAGAAAUUUUACUCCCUAGAGCAAUAUUUCUCAAUGAGGACCAGUUUUGUUUUGAUUUUUAAUUUGUUGGGGCAAUAAUACUUUCGUAAAAUACAGUAAAAAUGAAUUCCUAAAAAUGAAGUGAAAAUAGACAUACAGUAUACAAGCCUGAUAUUAUUAGAUUCAACAGACAUAAAGUUACUUAUGUAUACCAAGGAGACAUGUGCGAGAAUGUUGCUGGCAAAUUGUUUUGUAGUAACUGAAAACAAGAAGUAACUCACAUGUCCAGUGACAGGAUUAGAGGUUGGAAGAAAAAAAUGUGGCGUAAUCACAUGAUGGAUUAUUAUGGACUAUGAAAAAGUUAUAAAAAUAAAUGAACUGUAAACAUGCA